rnacentral:rRNA from 1 species
UACGUAGGUGACAAGCGUUUGUCCGGAUUUACUGGGCGUAAAGAGCGCGCAGGCGGUCGUUCAAGUCGAGUGUGAAAGCCCCCGGCUCAACUGGGGAGGGUCACUCGAUACUGAUCGACUCGAAGGCAGGAGAGGGAAGUGGAAUUCCCGGUGUAGUGGUGAAAUGCGUAGAAUAUCGGGAGGAACACCAGUGGCGAAGGCGGCUCACUGGCCCGGUACUGACGCUGAGGCGCGAAAGCGUGGGAGCAAACAGG